rnacentral:rRNA from 1 species
AUUGAACGCUGGCGGUAGGCCUAACACAUGCAAGUCGAACGCGAAAGUCCUGGAUGAGUAGAGUGGCGGACGGGUGAGUAACGCGUAGGAAUCUAUCCUGUAGUGGGGGAGUAACGUUUCGAAAGGAACGCUAAUACCGCAUACGCCCCAAGGGGGAAAGCGGGGAGUCUUCGGACCUCGUGCUAUAGGAGGAGCCUGCGUCGGAUUAGCUAGUUGGUGAGGUAAAGGCCCACCAAGGCGACGAUCCGUAGCUGGUCUGAGAGGAUGAUCAGCCACACCGGAACUGAGACACGGUCCGGACUCCUACGGGAGGCAGCAGUGGGGAAUAUUGCGCAAUGGGCGAAAGCCUGACGCAGCCAUACCGCGUGUGUGAAGAAGGCC